rnacentral:rRNA from 1 species
UAGCUAGUUGGUGAGGUAACGGCUCACCAAGGCGACGAUGCAUAGCCGACCUGAGAGGGUGAUCGGCCACAUUGGGGCUGAGACACGGCCCAAACUCCUACGGGAGGCAGCAGUAGGGAAUCUUCGGCAAUGGACGAAAGUCUGACCGAGCAACGCCGCGUGAGUGAAGAAGGUUUUCGGAUCGUAAAACUCUGUUGUUAGAGAAGAACAAGGAUGAGAGUAACUGUUCAUCCCUUGACGGUAUCUAACCAGAAAGCCACGGCUAACUACGUGCCAGCAGCCGCGGUAAUACGUAGGUGGCAAGCGUUGUCCGGAUUUAUUGGGCGUAAAGCGAGCGCAGGCGGUUUCUUAAGUCUGAUGUGAAAGCCCCCGGCUCAACCGGGGAGGGUCAUUGGAAACUGGGAGACUUGAGUGCAGAAGAGGAGAGUGGAAUUCCAUGUGUAGCGGUGAAAUGCGUAGAUAUAUGGAGGAACACCAGUGGCGAAGGCGGCUCUCUGGUCUGUAACUGACGCUGAGGCUCGAAAGCGUGGGGAGCAAACAGGAUUAGAUACCCUGGUAGUCCACGCCGUAAACGAUGAGUGCUAAGUGUUGGAGGGUUUCCGCCCUUCAGUGCUGCAGCUAACGCAU